AUCAUAUUCCAUAUCCAUAUUCACUCACUGGAUGACCAUUAAUAAGCUCACAGUAGACCAUACACAUACAAAAUCACGCGCACACUCAUGACACACAAUUUCUAUCACACUUAAUGAUCGGAACUACAUACACACAUAAAAUUAGGAGGAAUUGAGAGAGAGAAUAUAUUCGAGAAAACAUAGGGGAGUGAAGGGCGAGACAGAUCGGAGAAAGGAGAGUGAAAAUAAGGAGAGAGAAAAGGAAAACUGGUGGUUCUCGACUAUUCCGGCAAUUCAUCACCAGAAAAAUGUCAUUGAUGCUCCGAAUUUGAUCAGAUUUUCCUUUUUUCUAUUCCUUCUGAGCUGGUCGGAGUUCAUCAUCUCUGUCUUAUUUCGGGUAACACUAAAACGACAAUCUAGCUCCUGUCUCUGGUAGGAUUUAUCUAUGGUAGGUUGAAAAUUAUGGGUUCGAGAUUCUCAUCGACGUUGUUCAGUCGAAUUUUGAAUUCUGCUCGGGUUUCUAAUUCCCGAUACCAGUGGAGUUUGGGUAUUUGGGGUCUUUCAUUGGUUUCAAAAUUUGUUCGGGUGUGUCUCUCAAUUCGAGUUGGUCUUGUUCAUUGGUUGAGGUUCGACUAGGGGUUUUCGAAUACGGUUUUCAUCUUUUCAUUCGAAUAAUAUUUGAGUUCGAAAGCG
rnacentral:lncRNA from 1 species